GUUGUUUUUGUUGUUACAUUGAGGUUGCUUUGAUUGUCAAUGUAGGUUGUUUCUGUAGUCAAUUUGAUUCAGUUAAACAUGAUUUAGCGGGUUUUGUAAUUUAUUUUGAGAUUGGUGUUUAGGAAUGCAGGUAAUUGAGGAUGUUUCUGUUGUCAAUUUUUUGAUGCAUGUGAUAGGGUUUACCUGUGUCUAAUCGGCGGGUUUUUUUUUCCUCUUAAUGUAUGCAACUUUGGGACUUCACAAGAAGCUUCUGUAAAGAGCACCAAAAGCUGGCAAGAUGCUUAAUCUUGAUAAUGCUAACUAAAAGCUGGCAAGAUCCUAACCUGCCAGGAUGAACAGGUGGGAAAUGUGUGCACAUGUUCAGGUGGUUUCGAAAACUGAGAGCGAGGAAGAAGUGUUAAUGCUACAACAGCGGAGGGCACUCGGUCUGCUAACAUAAACCUUCAUAAAAGUCCUCGACUCAAACAGCACAUUCAAGCACAACCUGAGAUAUGUAAGUGUUCUUAAUGGCUUUAAUUUUGGCUCAAUUUUUUCCGUCUUAGCUCAGUUGGUAGAGCGUACGGCUUUUUGCCAUAAGGUCGUGGGUGAUUCCCACAGACGGAAUACAAGUUAUAUGAGAUUGUAUAUUUGUAA